UACGUAGGGGGCAAGCGUUGUCCGGAUUUAUUGGGCGUAAAGAGCGUGUAGGCGGCCAAACAGGUCAGCUGUGAAAACUCGAGGCUCAACCUCGAGACGUCGGUUGAAACCGUUUGGCUAGAGUCCGGAAGAGGAGAGUGGAAUUCCCGGUGUAGUGGUGAAAUGCGCAGAUAUCGGGAAGAACACCCGUGGCGAAGGCGGCUCUCUGGGACGGUACUGACGCUGAGACGCGAAAGCGUGGGGAGCGAACAGG
rnacentral:rRNA from 1 species